rnacentral:sRNA from 1 species
CUCAUUUCAAAAAUACCAUCCGCUCUUGCGUCUACUGUUAACAUUCUUAGCCAUGGAGAAAAAGACCCGCCGACUUGAAUUACACCCCUCCCGCCGUCUCGACUCCAUUCCUCUCCCCCUCCGCGUCCUCGAAUAAUAUGGCUUCCGGCUCGUCAAACAACUGUUCUGUGCCCGCUGCUCCACCCAUAGGCGGAUCGGAUGUUGCCAUAGGGCCCGGGGGGAUAGCAUUGGGAACCCCUUGGUCUUUUGCAGAGUGAAGCUUGCUCUGUUCCUCUUCUCGGGCAGCCUUCUCGCGCAUCUUCCGUCUGUCCGCGUGCUCUUCGUCGGCCUGUAGGAAUGUUACCUUGUCAGCCCAAGCAAAUUUAAAAACAUAUCAUACUCACCUUUGAACCCCAUUUAGUCCACCAGCCCAUACCCAUACUUCUCGACGUCACUUCAUCUACACUCUUCGCCACAUUCCUUGCAAGCCCUUUAUCCCAGAUCCCUGCCACCGAACAUAAUGGUGGUCUCUCAUCUUGCAGAUCUCUUGUCAAGAACCCUUCCGCUUCCGCCUUGAUCCUAUCCUUUUGCUUGAUCUCUCGCCAUUUAGCAAGUUCUUUGCUGUACUUUUUAUCCCAUUCGUGACGCCUGGCAAGCCAUUUGCGGAUUGCUCCAUCCCCGUGAACCUGGCCGAUAUGUUCCCGCAAAGAAGGCUGGAGUGCCGGCACAGCUUCGAUAGGCUCAAAUGGCCGGAUAUUUCCAUGUACAGAGACUCUCUCGGAUACAAGAUUGACAUUGCCAUAAAGAGGUUCAGUGCCAUGUACAGUCACUAUGCCUUUAGCGGGAACCGGAUCACCUCUUUCUUCUUCGUCUGCAAUCGUGCUUUCGGAAGUUACAGACAUGUCGUCCUCAUCCGACUCUGCUUCAGAUUGGACCUCACCGAAAGAGAUGGGUUUGGUGUUGGCAGCAACGGCAGCUCCAGAAGUGAUGAUUGGUUGAGUAAAGUCGAUAGUGGAUUGUCUGCUAGUGGCACUGGAAGCAGUUAGGGGUGAACGGGCCCCAGAGGCAUUGAUUACUCCGGUGGUCGUUGGGGAAUGGGAUGAGUGGGUCAUUCCAUUUGUCAAAGAGUCGGACAUGGAGAGCGGAGUAAGGCCGUUGGGCAAUUUGGUAACAUUGUACGGCUUAUUGAGAGAUGACGCCGAGCGUUGCUUUCUGAGAGAACUGGACGACUGUUUGUGCUGCAGUUUCUUUUCCAAAGCUUUCUGGGCUGCAGUGAAUGCCCAAAUGUUAAAGCUAAACAUUCGUCAGCCCUCGUGUCUCAUUCCGUUACUGUACUGGCGAUCGAAUCUCACUUGGCACACGCUCGGUACAUGUAUUUCGCACUCUUGGUCCAACUCAGAGUAGGUACGACAUGACAACCUCCUUCGUAUAUCUGGAGAUGGACUUUGGUAGGCUUGUAUUUGGCGACCUUGCUGGCUUGAUCUGGGUACUGACUCAAGGUAAUUGGUGACGGCGGGUAUUUCACGGGGUCGGCCGCUUUGUACGCCGUGAGCUCUCCACCACCACCCAACUGAAAUGAAAAGUUCAUCAAGAUUAGUUUACCAAGCACGGAGUAAUUUCCGACUCACGAUGAGCAAAGGGCAUAAACCUCCCAAGGAUCCUUGGUUGACUGGUGAUACCAGUGGAUGGGUCAACAGAUUAUUGGGGCUACAGAAUAUCAGUGAAUAAUCACCCUGACCAUGAAGUUUAGUGGCCUACCAAUACAUCUGAAUCUGCUCAUCGUAUCGGUUGACAGACCCAUCGGGCAUCGUCACAUCUAUACCAUCUCCUGGCAAAGGCGGCCAUGCGCAGCUAGGUUUGUAAUGAAAACUAUUAGGUCGUCAGCUAAUCACUCUCUCAACAUGUUUAAAAGUUCUCACCCAGAAGAAGGAAUGAAGUCCCCUCCAUCCCAACCUCCAAUACUUGGCAUGCUAUGUGUCAAAUCCACCCAGGGGCUAAUCAAGCUCGCGCCGGCCGGCAUGGGUAAUCCCAUCUCCCUGAUAAGCACCAGAAGAGAGAUGACCAUCCCAGCACCUGCCGAGUCACCGGAGAGGAUGAUGUUGGUUGGAAGUAUUGGUUGAUGAGGAGCUGAGGGAGGAGGUGAGAUGAGGUAGAGGUAGGCUGCGAGACAGUCGAGGAGACCACAUGGCUAGGAUAUGUCAGCAAAGACCAUCGGGAAAGGUGAGGAAGGUACGUACGAAAGGGUAUUGGGGGGAAAGUCUGUAUGCUGGGCAGAAAGCGCGAGCGCCGGCCUUUCGAACAUGUCGUUGAACUUGAUAUCGGCGCUUCAAGUGAUGGACAUACCAUGGAUGUACAUGAUAACACGGUCACCAACCACUUCACCUCCAGCAUUGUCCAUGACACUACCAGUUGUAGCCCUUUUGCGAGGCAUAUAUCUCGUGUUACUCCGGUUGGUAUCUGUUAACGAUGUUGGAGAUGUCAAGGUUGCUGCUGCGGUAGAUUCAGCGGCCGCCUUCUUAGCUUCUUCCAUUUACGUUAUCCAAAACUACUGGCUCACCUCUAUCCAUUCACCCUCAAGGGUGCGCCGUCUGACUCUCCACCAUUUGUCUCCUCCUACAAGUUGUAAUCCGCCUCCUUCAGCUCCCUGCGGUCCAUACGUAGAAAGAUGCUUUGCAAGAAUAUCCUCUGCCUCUUUGAUAUUCUCAUCAGGUAUCACCAUAACAUCUCGUUUGACCCAUCCUAAUGACAGAUUUGUGUCAGCCACGUUUAUUUUCAGUUCAGCCACACUGCACUUACGGGGCGUCGGCACCCACAUAGCGGUGAAUGCCUGAACUUCUUCUACACCAUGAUGACUUGCAAAGUCCAGGAAACGCCUGACAACUUGGAGUCCUUCUUCAUAAGUCAAUUGAUUUUCUGGCCCACCUCCAGGACCGCCCGCUUCGAGAGACUUUUUCGAUGCGCUCUUGCGGCGACGAUGGGCGAGGACGUGAGAAAAGAAGGUGGAGAUGACUGUUGGUGUUGC